rnacentral:lncRNA from 1 species
CCAAGCUGGUCCCUCAGCCCAUAUUACUAAAUGCCUGACUUCAGAAAAAAAACGUAAACAAAAGACAGAGAUUGGAAGCAUCAGAAUUUUAUUCCAGUGACUCAAUCCCCAUUGUGUGAAGUAGACCAGAAUGAAUAAAUUGAACUUACUCAGCACCUCAAUUAUUAAAUGUAUCCACAGAAAUUCAUUCUGUCAAGUUAACUGUGGAGGUUGUUGUUGCUAUUGCAGACUAAAUGGUUUUCCUGGGAACUCUGACUCUGGCCACAAGAUCAAGACUGACAAAUUUCCUUUCUCUGUUUAUGGAGGGAGACUUCACAACAUUCACUGAAAGAGGAGCAAAGGACCUGGUUUUUGCCAUGACUGGCUUUGGCCCCGUGAAUGAAUGUUUUUCUGGCAUUGGAAAGCGGAUAGCAAAGAGAGCAGAACCACAAAUGGGCUAUGAGGAAAUGUGUUCAAUGAAGAAAACAAAAUCUCUGACAAGAUCCAACAUAGGACAACAUCUCAGCAUCUUCUGUGAUUUGUGAACCCAAGUAAAGCACUUCUUAGAGUUAUCUGGCACAUUCGCAACUAAUAGCUUUCUGUGAAUAAAUACUGUGGCAACCACGUUAACUGUACAAAAACAAAUUGCUUAUUUCUUAUAUCCAUG